rnacentral:rRNA from 1 species
UACGUAGGGCGCAAGCGUUGUCCGGAAUUAUUGGGCGUAAAGAGCUCGUAGGCGGCUUGUCGCGUCGACCGUGAAAACUUGGGGCUCAACCCCAAGCCUGCGGUCGAUACGGGCAGGCUCGAGUUCGGUAGGGGAGACUGGAAUUCCUGGUGUAGCGGUGAAAUGCGCAGAUAUCAGGAGGAACACCGGUGGCGAAGGCGGGUCUCUGGGCCGUAACUGACGCUGAGGAGCGAAAGCAUGGGGAGCGAACAGG